AGUAAUACUUGGGCGAUCUGCCCUCGAGAGGGAAACAACCUGCCGAAAGGCGGGCUAAUGUCCCAUAAGACCACAGGAAUUCCUGUUCCAGGGGUCAAAGCUCCGCAAGGGGCGCUUGAGGAGGAGCCCGAGUCCUAUCAUGGUAGUUGGUGAGGUAACGGCUCACCAAGCCUUUGACGGGUAGCCGGCCUGAAAGGGUGAUCGGCCACACUGGCACUGAGACACGGGCCAG
rnacentral:rRNA from 1 species